rnacentral:misc_RNA from 1 species
UCCGGUUUGUCACCGGCAGUCUGGCGUGAGUCCCCAACUUAAUGCUGGCAACACGCCACGGGGGUUGCGCUCGUUGCGGGACUUAACCCAACAUUUCACAACACGAGCUGACGACAGCCAUGCAGCACCUCUCACUACAUUUCCUUGCGGACACUCCAGGCAUUACCCCGGAUUCGUAGGAGUUCAAGCCUAGGUAAGGUUCUGCGCGUUGCUUCGAAUUAAACCACAUAAUCCACCGCUUGUGCGGGCCCCCGUCAAUUUGUUUGAGUUUUAGUCUUGCGACCGUACUCCCCAGGCGGAGCACUUAAUGCGUUAGCUGCGUCACUGAGGGAGUCAAUACCCCCCACACCUAGUGUCCAUAGUUUACGGCGUGGACUAC